rnacentral:rRNA from 1 species
GUCCACGCCCUAAACUAUGUCAACUAGUUGUCGGGAAAGCAAUUUCUUGGUAACGAAGCUAACGCGUGAAGUUGACCGCCUGGGGAGUACGGUCGCAAGAUUAAAACUCAAAGGAAUUGACGGGGGCCCGCACAAGCGGUGGAUGAUGUGGAUUAAUUCGAUGCAACGCGAAAACCUUACCUACCCUUGACAUGCCCGGGAGCCAGAUGAGAGUUUGGUGUGCUCGAAAGAGAGCCGGGACACAGGUGCUGCAUGGCUGUCGU